GACGUAGGGCGCGAGCGUUGUCCGGAUUUAUUGGGCGUAAAGAGCUCGUAGGCGGCUUGUCGCGUCGUCUGUGAAAUCCCGCGGCUCAACUGCGGGUCUGCAGUCGAUACGGGCAGGCUAGAGUUCGGUAGGGGAGACUGGAAUUCCUGGUGUAGCGGUGAAAUGCGCAGAGAUCGGGAGGAACACCCGUAGCGAAGGCGGCACUCUGGGCCGGUACUGACGCUGAGGAGCGAAAGCGUGGGGAGCAAACAGG
rnacentral:rRNA from 1 species